rnacentral:rRNA from 1 species
GAUGAACGCUGGCGGCGUGCCUAAUACAUGCAAGUCGAGCGAACGGACGAGAAGCUUGCUUUUCUGAUGUUAGCGGCGGACGGGUGAGUAACACGUGGAUAACCUACCUAUAAGACUGGGAUAACUUCGGGAAACCGGAGCUAAUACCGGAUAAUAUUUUGAACCGCAUGGUUCAAAAGUGAAAGGCGGUCUUGCUGUCACUUAUAGAUGGAUCCGCGCUGCAUUAGCUAGUUGGUAAGGUAACGGCUUACCAAGGCAACGAGGCAUAGCCGACCUGAGAGGGUGGUCGGCCACACUGGAACUGGAACAGGGUCAAGGCGCCUACGGGAGGCAGCAGUAGGGAAUCUUCGGCAAUGGGCGAAAGCCUGACGGAGCAACGCCGCGUGAGUGAUGAAGGUCUUCGGAUCGUAAAACUCUGUUAUUAGGGAAGAACAGAUGUGUAAGUAACUGUGCACAUCUUGACGGUACCUAAUCAGAAAGCCACGGCUAACUACGUG